rnacentral:lncRNA from 1 species
AAGCUCAAAAUGAGCUCUGAAAGUCAACCCUGCAAUAUGCAAAAACUGCAAAUUUCGUGAAGAAGGGGCAUGAAGGUGCAUGGGCAGCCAUUGCGAGUGGCGCGUGCAGCGCGUGGCUGCCAGUGUAGCCAUCUUAUGGUGGCGUGUGAAGGAACUCGAAAUCUUUCCUUAAGUUUCUCGACGUGCUGAACCCAAAUUCGACCUCCAUUUUCUGAAAUUCGAUCGUUUUAAAAUAGUUCCUUUAUUAGCCGUACUUCGUACAGAAACGCGUUUAUACGUUAGUACGUUACAUAUUUACAUAAAUAGUUUCGUUUCUAGGCGAAACGCAUCGCAAGGACUCUUGAUGUCAUGAGGCGGGUUCAACUCAAUGACAUGAUUUGUGAGUGGGUCUUUGUUUUUUAAAAUAUUAUAUAUUUAUUUAGUUUCCAUUUAUAUAAUUGAUGAAGAAUUUUCUAAAAUGCACUUUGUUUAGACUAACGUUUUUAAAAAUUAACGUAUUGACGAAAUUUAUGAAAUUACCAUAAAUUCUACAGGACGCACGUUUAUGCAUAUUUUGACGUGAGGCCAUGAAUAUACCUACGGUCAACAAUAUUAUUAUUUUAUUGUGGUGAAUUACGAAGUUUCUAUAGUAUGAUUAUAUUUAUGUUACUACUCAUCAUGCAUGCUACACUGGUGUUUGUACUCGCUCGGGCCAAGGCCAGGCUUCACGUGUAUGUUCACAUCACACCAUAGGCUCACUUUAGAUCCAUUAUAGGUGUCAGUCCUGUCCUAAAUUGCUAUAGGAAAUUAGGACUCGUAUGUGAUGCGCAUAGCGCCAGUCUUCACGUGAUUAUAGUACUUCAAGUGAUUAUAGUACUAGAGCAUAAGUCAUUAUUACACCCAGUCAUGUUCAUGUCAAAAUACCUCUGCAUGAACUUAUGUGUCAGCAUACAUCGAUGAGCCCCUGUUAGUAUAUAUUUAUUUAUUUGAGAUAUGGGAUUACUGAGUGUUAUGUGUUUACUUACAAAGUAUUAUGAAGUAUUGCAUCCUUGACGAUUUUACUAUUUAUGGUAAGUAUUUUCAUACUAUAUAGUAUGUUAUAUUUGGAAACUAUACUUGUUUUACAGCAAGGGGUUAUUAUGUUUUCGAAAAUAUUUUUACAAAACUUUAUUUUUAAGCCCACUCACCUUUGUUUUUCGCCCAUCCAGGUUUUAGUAGUUGAGUUAUCGUAUUGACAAGGAUUUUUGGCAAAUCUUAGUAUUGGAGAUUACCUUCAAUGUUAUAACUCUCAUUCUACUUUUACUGUACUUUACUUAUACUCUGAUAUCAUGUGUGAAAUGGGUUUACUCCCUCUCACUAGCACACUCUUACAUUUAGGUACUCUGAGGUUUAAAUUUACUCACAUUUUUCACAUCAUUACACAUUAUGGCUUCGUCACCCUCUUUGUGUCAGCUAGCACAGCUCGAUUCGAAGUCCACAUGGACAUUCCUGAUUCGCGUGUGUCAAAUAAAAUUAUGACAUGUGAACACAUAAUAAUGUGUAAUGACAAUAUGAAAUGGUCCUUAUGCAAGUGUUUCGUUUCUUUAUGUUUCUUAUUAUGAUAUAAGUUUUUGAAUUAUUUCUUGUCCAUGUGUCAUUAUUUUAUUAGUGGUUAUAACUGAAAAAUAAGAAUUAAUGAUGAAAAGACUAAUUUGCCCUUGAAUUUGACGAAAUAGUGGACGGAAUCUACGACAAGGGAUUGGCUGAUUUUAAAUAGUUCAAAUGGUUAAUUUACCAAAAAAAAUAGUUCAAUAGGUCAAUUUCAACUAGUGUAAUAGUUUAGGAGGCCAAACCGUAGUUUACCCUAUAUUUUAAGUACAAAGAAACACUUAUUUAUAUGAAAUAUAAUAGAUUUACUUAAAUCUGUUUAGUCUGCCUAGGCGCUUGCAAAGGCCCUACCUAGCCGCCUAAGCGCUAGGCUCCAACCCGCCGCUCGAUUAGCACCUAACGUGUUUUAGAACCUUGUUAAAUAUUAAAACAAAAUAUAAUAUAUAUAUAUAUAUAUAUAUAUAUAUAUAUCUAACACCACGUUUUUAUUAAAUUUUAAUCUUCUUCAAGGGUUAAAGUUAAAAAAAAAAAAGACCUUGAAUUUAACAACAUGCAUAUGAAAGGUAAUAGCUAUAUUUUAAUCUAGCAGCUUGAGAAGAGAAGAAGAACCGGAGAAUCAAAGAAAUUAGAUAGAGAAACAAGUGAAAUAAGCAAUUUAGCUUAUUUUCAUUAGCAUUCUUACAUUUUCGUAACUGUUAAGCAACCGCAUUACUCACUUAUUACUCCCCUCAAUCUUAGCAUGGGUUUCAUGGUUAAGAUUGUAGCUAUGAUGAACAAACACUGGACUGUGAAAUUCUUGUCAAAAUAUCCACAACCUGUUAUAAAUAUGUAAAAGUUAGAAAGAUAACCUUUUAGUGAAUGGAGUGAAGCAGAGGUAAAAUAUCACACUGUAAUUAUAACUCAAGUGAAUGAUAAAUAAAAGAGGGAGAAAUUGAUGUUAUUAUUUCUCUUACUUUCUUUAUGUUUGCUACUAUCUUUUGAUUGCAGUUAAGUGCUCUAUUUAUAAAGCAACUCGUAUUACUACAUUUGAAAUUUACAACACCCUUUUUGACAAUAUGAUAUCCUGCAUCCCCCAAAGUCAGUUUUCAAUUUGUAUGGACAUUGAAAACUUCUACCAAUGCUGGAAAACUUCUACCAAUGCAAUGUGGGCAUUCAUUACCCACCAGCAUUUUCAACACUCCCCCUUGGAUGCCCACAUAUCAACAUCAGUUGCCUCAUUAAAACCUUGCUUGGAAAAACCCAAUGGGAAAAAAACCAUAGCGAAGGAAAAAGAGUACAACUUUACCUGAAUUGUUGGUAUAGUGUUAAGUAUGCUUAUGUUGCCUCAUUAAAACCUUGAUAGGAAAAACCCAGUGGGAAAAAUCCUAAUUGAAGGAAAAAGAGUACAACAUGCAUGUAUCAUGUAUACUCCCCCUGAUAUAUAUUUCCCCCUGAUUCUGCAUUCUCGAAAUUUAGUUGUUUGGUAAGUCGACGUAAUCCGAUACUUUGCAUUAACUUCUGAAACGUGCAUUUUGGUAGAGAUUUGGUGAACAACUCUGCCAAAUUUUCAUUAGAACGGAUUUGUCUUACUUCAAUAACUUUAGCCUUUUGGAGCUCAUGUGCACUGAAAAACUUGGGAGAUAUGUGUUUAGUCUUAUCGCCCUUAAUGAAUCCUUCCUUCAUUUGGGCAACAUAGGCUGCAUUAUCUUCAUGAGAUAGUUGAAGUGUCUGUCUUUGAAGUUAGACCACAUGAAUUCUUGAUAUGAUGGAUCAUUGAUCUUAACCAUGAACAUUCACGACUUGCUUCAUCUAAAGCAAGUAUUUCUAAAUGAUUUGAAGAUGUAGCAACUAAUGUUUGCUUUGUUGAGCACCAUGAGAUUGUUGUAUCUCCAUUCUUGAACAUAUAUCCAGUUUGUGAGUGGGCUUUAUGCGGAUCAGAGAGGAAACCAGCAUCUACAUAUCCAACAAAGACUUGGUCAUUUGUAGAGUUCUUUGAGUAGAAGAGACCCAUAUAUGUUGUCCCACAAAGGUAUCGCAAUAUAUCUUUGACACCCUUCUAAUAACGAAUUGUUAGAGUAGAGCUAUAUCUUGCUAACAAGUUGACUGAAAAAGUUAUAUCUGGUCUAGUACAUUGUGCUAAAUACAACAAAGCACCUAUUGCACUCAGAUAUGGUACUUCUAGACCAAGGACCAGUUCAUCAUCUUCUUUUGGACAGAAUGGAUCUUUCUUAACAUCCAAAGAAUGAAUGACCAUUGGUGUGCUGAGUGGAUAAGCCUUGUCCAUACCCAAUCGCUUCAGGAUUUUUUCAAUGUAAGAUGAUUGGUGGACCAAAAUUCCACUAGCACAAUGCUCAAUCUGCAGGUCGAGACAAAAUUUUGUUUUUCCAAGGUCUUUCAUUUCAAAUUCGUUUUUCUGAUAUUCAACAGUUUUAUAAAGCUCUUCAGGGGUUCCAACUAGGUUAAUAUCAUCAAUGUAUACUGCCACUAUAGCAAAUCCAGAAUUGGAUUUCUUAAGGAACACACAAGGGCAAAUGACAUUGUUGAUGUAUCCUUCUUUGAUCAAAUACUCACUGAGACGAUUAUACCACAUUCGUCCAGAUUGUUUCAGCUCAUACAAUGAUCGCCUUAAUUUGAUCGAAAGCAUACCUCGUGGUUUAUUAGUUAUUUCAGGCAACUUAAGUCCUUCUGAGACCUUCAUGUAUAUGUCAGUAUCUAAUUCUCCAUAUAGAUACGCAGUGAUGACAUCCAUAGGUUGCAUGUCAAGCUUUUUUGAAACCACUAAACUUAUUAAGUAACGGAACAUAAUUGCGUUACAGGAGAGUAUGUCUCCUCAUAAUCAAUUCCAGGUUUUGUGAAAAACCUUGAGCAACGAAUCGUGCUUUAUAUCUUGCAAUCUCGUUUUUCUCAUUGCGUUUCCUUAUGAAUACCCAUUUGUAACCCACAGGGUUUACACCAGGCGGGGUUUAGACUACUGGUCCAAAAACAUUUCGCCUUUCCAAGGAAUUUAAUCCUGCCUGGAUUGCAUUUUUCCACUUAGGCCAAUUUUGUCUCUGUUUACAUUCAUCAACAGAGCGGGGCUCAAUAUCAUCACUUAAUAUGAUUUCAGUGGCUACUGUGAAUGCCAACAUAUCGUCGAUGAUUAUUUCAUUAUGAUCCCACAGUUCAUAGUACAUGCAUAAUUUAUGGAGAUUUCUUUGCUCUCAUGUACUGCUGUCUCUUCAGGGACAUGUGUCUCAUCAUGGACAUUUUCUUCUUUUGGAAGUCUAGAAUCAUGAAUUGUAGAUUUGUCAUUCGUUCUCUCUUCCUGAAUGUUUUCAUUUGAAUUCAACUGUGCCCUUGUCUUUCUCUUUCAAGGGGUUGAAUCUUUUGAACCUGGUGGUUUACCACGCUUCAGGCAUGCACCAAAUGAAUCAUUCGCUACCAUUUUAUUUUGUCCAAUAGGGACAUCAAUUCUUGCAGGUGCAUUUGCAGCUAGUAUAUGUGAUUUUGUCACUUUCAUAGCAUCAUUAAAUGCAUCUGGCAUUUGAUUGGCAAUGCUUUGAAGAUGAACAAUCCUUUUUACUUCAUUUUCACAUUGAAUGCUUCAAGGAUUAAAAUGAGACAAUGUGGGAACAACCCAUGUCAGCUCUUUCCGUUCUUCUGGAAUGGUCUUUUCUCCCCCUAAUGACGGGAAUAUUGUCUCAUCAAAGUAACAAUAAACAAAAAGAGCUGUAAACAUAUUACCUCUCAGGGGUUUCAAAUAUCUGAUGAUAGAUGGUGAAUCAAAACCCACAUAAAUUCCCAGUCUAUGCUAAGGUCCCAUUUUAGUGCAUUGCAGGGGUGCAAUAGGCACAUAAACAGCACAACCAAAAACUCGUAAAUGUGAAAUGUUUGGCUGAUGUCCAAACACAAGUUGUAUUGGGAGUAUUAGUGGUUGGCUAUAGGUCUCAAUUGAACCAAUGAUGCAACAUAUAGGAUGACAUGUCCCCAUGUAGAAACUGGUAAUUGGUUUUCAUAAGCAAAGUGCAGGCUAUUAACUGAAGCCGCUUGAUCAAUGCUUCUGCUAAACCAUUUUGAGUAUGGACAUAAAGAACGGGGUGUUCAACAUCAAUGCCUAAUGUCAUGCAAUAAUCAUCAAAGGUUUGAGACAUAAAUUCACCAGCGUUAUCAAGUCGGAUUGACUUAAUGGGAUAAUUUGGGAACUGUGCUAAUAACUUAGUUAUCUGAGCAAGAAGUCUCGCAAAAGCUACAUUUCGAGUAAACAAGAGACAAACAUAUGACCAUUUGGUAGAUGCAUCAACCAAAACCAUAAAAUAUCGAAAUGGUCCACAAGAUGGUUAAAUAGGCCCACAAAUAUCCCCUUGAAUUCUUUGCAGAAAUGAUGGGGAUUCAGCAUCAACCUUUAGUUGUGAUGAUCUAAUUACCAACUUCCCUUGAGAACAAGCUUUGCAAGGGUUAUCAUUUGUGAUAGCAAUGUCCCUACUCAGUAAUGGAGAUCUAUUAGAGUUGGUAAUGAUCCUACGCAUCAUGGUGGAUCCUGGAUGACCUAGACAGUCAUGCCAAAACAUGUAAACUUUUGAAUCAAUGAACUUCUGGUUCAUGACAGUAUGUGAUUCAACUGUCUUAAUGUAUGUAUAAUACAAUCCACUCGACAAACCAUGCAACUUCUCCAAUAUACACUUCUGGGUAUCAUUGGAGAUAAUGCAUAGAAACUCCACAUUUUCUACACUUUUCGUUUCAAUUUGGUAUCCAUUUAAACGUAUGUCUUUGAAACUCAACAAAUUUUGAGUGGAUCGAGUAGCAUACAACGCAUUUUGUAUGGACAAUAUUGUUCCAUUUGGUAACAUAAUCUGGGUUUUCCCUGAGCCUUCAAUUACAUCUGAUUUGCCUGAUAUUAUUGUUACCCUUAUUCUUGUAAGCAUAAAGCUUAAGAAAUACUUUCGAUCACGAAGUAUUGUAUGCGUUGUUGCACAGUCUGCAAGACAGAUAUCUCCACCAUUUCUCAUGUUCUGAGAAUAACCAUAGUCUUUAUCCAUGCUCUCUGAAUAAAGGAAUCAGAGUUUUAAGCAAGUUAUAGCAGGAAAUUUACAUGUCACUUUUAUUGAAUCUGAAAUGCCAGUUUUAAACUACAAGUUCAGCAUAAUAAAAGUACAUCAAACAUAAAUGAUUCAGUCGAACCGAUACAUUUCAUUCCCCCUUUCCAUAAUGAAGUCUGAAACAUCUAGGUGAGUUGUGUUCAACUAUUCUAAUAAGUCACACACUUGAUCAGGUAUAACCCUUGGGUUAGCCUGGUCGAGAAAAUUGGUUUCGACACCCUUCUCCUUGAGGGAAGCUUGAUACAUAUCCACCAGAUGUUUUGGGGUACGACAAGUACGCGCCUAAUGCCCAUUGCCACCACACCUAUGGUAGGCUCCUUCAUAGUUCCUGGGAGCUUUGUUCAUGUGAGCUUUGCCUUUGUGGCGAUUCAUAUGUUUGAAGCUCAGGUCUGAAUUAUGCCUUGGAACCUGGUUGUAAGACUGACCACCAUGGUUCAUGCCUUUCCUGUUCCACCGACCUCGCUUGUGGCCACAUCCUCGUUUAUGAUUAUCGCCACCAGAGGAUGUGGCGUUCACUUCGAGAGAAGCAGCAUUCACUUCUGGGAAUGGUACAAAUCCAGUAGGUCGGGAAUGAUGUUUUUCAUCAGGAGCUCAUUAUUGUGUUCAGCUACCAGAAGCACAGAUAUCAGCUAGUUGUAUUCUGUGAAGCCUCGCGCUCUAUACUGCUGUUGCAGGAGCACAUUAGAGGCAUAAAAUGUGCUGAAAGUCUUUUCCAGCAACAUUUCCUUAGUAAUAGUAUCCCCACAGAGCUUCAUCUGAGAGGUAAUUCUGAACAACGCAGAAUUGUACUCAACCACUGACUUGAAAUCCUGGAUCCUUAGGUGAGUCCAUUCAUAGCAAGCUCUUGUAAGAAUCACUGUUGUUUGGUGAUUGUAUUUGCUUCUCAAGGCCUGCCGGAGAGCUAACGGAUCUUCAACCGUUAAGUACUCACUCUUUAGUCCCUCAUCAAGAUGGCGACAAAUAAAGAUCAUGGUCUUCGCCCGCUCUUGAGAAGAUGAGUUGUUCUCUUCCUUGAUGGUAUCUCCAAGAUUCCCUACUUCCAGAUGGAUCUUGGUAUCCAGUACCCAGGUAAGGUAAUUGUUCCCGGUAAUGUCCAGGGCAACAUAAUCAAGCUUCGGCAAGUUCACAAUUUUCUUUUCUGAAAGAAAAUGAGAUGUGUAAGAACUUGCAAUAAUAUGUAUUCUUGGAGGAAUAUAAUGUUAGAACUUCUGGUUCUUACAAAUUUUUCAUUUUGAUCUUCAGGCCAAAAUGAUAAGCACUCGAAACUUCUGACUCGAGAUUUUCAGGAUGAAUGAGGAGGGUGAUUGUACCACACCAUUCUCAUUGAAAUAAUGUAACAUAGAAUGGGCGAUUAUUCUGCACCACUCAAGUAGCAGGAAAAUUUAAAUACGCAUAAUAGUAUGGGCGAUUAUACCGCACCACCUAAAAUUGCAAUGAAAUUAAACAGCAGGCAAAUUAAAUAUGCAGGGUAGGGCGAGCGAUUAUAUCGCUCCACCAAAAAAUUGCAAUAAAAUUAAAUCUGUAGUCCAAGAUAAGCGAUGAUACCGCACCAUCUUGGAUCGCAGUAAGAUGAAAUUUGCAAUUCAAGAUGGGCGAUUGUACCACACCAUCUUGGAUUGCAGUAAAAAUAAAUAUUGGGUUAGUAAUCAAUAUUUGUACCAAACAAGAAAUUAAAGAUGUAUGUAACCGUUAGGUUGAGAACUAGAAGCAAGCAUGGAGCAGACAGUUCGUCGCGAGGUUAUAUCGCGCAGUUGAGGCAGAGGAAGAAGAUGAACAGUAAUAACCUUAGAGGAAAAAAAUUUUCUUUCGUUCGGCGAAGAUAAAUGAUUUUCAUUCGACGAGGAAUGAGAAAUAGUUAUAUUUAUAACGUUAUCAGCACGAGUCUCUAAAUAUAACUAUUUCUCAUUCCUCUUCGGCGAAUGAAAAUCAUUUCUCUUCACCGAACGAAAGAAAAAAUGUUUCCUCUAAGGUUUUUACUGUUCAUCUUCUUCCUCUGCCUCAACUGCGCGAUAUACCCUCGCGACGAACUAUUUGCUCCAUGCCUAUUUCUAGUUCUCAACCUAACUGUUACAUACAUCUUUGAUUUCUUGUUUGGUAUAUAUAUUAAUUACUAACCCAGUAUUUUUUUUUUUUUAAAAAAAAAAGAAAGAGGGAGGAAUGGAUGUUGUUAUUGCUCUUACUUUCUUUCUGUUUGCUACUAUCUUUUGAUUGCAGUCGAGUGCUCUAUUUACAGAGCAACCCGUAUUACUACAUUUGAAAUUUACAACACUCUUUUUGACAAUUUGAUAUCCUGCAUCCUCCAAAGUCAGUUUUCAAUUUGUACGGACAUUGAAAGCUUCUAUCAAUGCUAGAAAACUUCUACCAAUGCACUGUGGGCAUUCAUUACCCACCGGCAUUUUCAACACAACCUACUCUUUUGUAUGGUAAUAUAGUUAUAAAAAGAUCAACUUUUUGGACUUUUUAUCUAACAAAGUAAUCAUUUAGAGCAGGAGAUUGUCACAACGAUAGAUAGGAGGACAUAGGAGGAGAAUGAAUGAAUACAUGCAAAUCUUUCAAAAUUGCUCUUAUCCAACAUACAUCUACAACACAGUGAGUUAAUGCCUUGUAUUCUACUUCAGUAGAACUCCUACAGAUAAUUGCUUUUUGGAUUGUCAACAAAAAAUCACAUAAACUUGUAGCAAAUCUUCAUUGGUUAAUGUCAGCAACCCAAUCAGAGUCUAAAUAUGCUGAAGUGGUAUUAUCAAAUGAGGAUUUAUAAGUCAAUCCAUAUUCUAUAAUGUUUCCAAAGAUAUCUCAAGAUUCUAUUAACUGGAAAGAAGUGUGCAUUUGUAGGUUGAUAAAUAUGUUGACAAGGGGUGACAUAUCAGGUCUUAUAAAUGUUAGAUAUUGAAGGGCACCCACAAAAUUUCUGUAAACUUAGAUCCAAGAGGAGUUCAUUCUGAAACAAGCAAUUGAGUAUGUGGUUUAGAUGAAGUUGGGUGCAUGUUUACAGUUCUUCAUUCCAGCCUUCUUAAGCAACUCUCUUGCAUAUUUUGUUUAGCUAACAAACAGAUGACCAUUGUCUUUGUAUUCAAUUUGAAGACCAAGGAAGUUUGUCAACUGGCCCAUAUCCUUUAAUUUUAAAUCAAACAAUUCUCCAAGGUUCAUGAUUAUUGAUUGAACUAAUAUCAGCUGUUGAUGAAGUUUCAGAAAAGAACAGGGUCGGUUGCUUUUUAAUUAUAUCAGCUCAAGUAAUUUUGAUACAUGGCAAUCCAAUGGCUUGUAGAAGCUCUGAUAGCAUAUUAACUACAUUGUAAAAGAUAAAGAAUUGGUAAAGACGAAGAGGAAGAUGAUAGAGAGAAGCAAGAGAGAUUGUAUUGAUUAGAGAAAAUGUAUACAACCAAACUGAAGGAAAUGAUAGCUAUACAAUCCCUUAUAUAGCUAUGUAUCCAAACUACAACAAUAUCGUUCUAACAAACUCAACCACUAGAAUAAUGUCAUGUGGCAUUUCUGUUAUAUCAGUUAUUAAUAAGCCACAUAAUAAGAGAUCUAAUCUAGGAUAAAUUUUUCAUUGUAAUCAGAACACGGGUGGUAUACUAUGUGUUUUUAUAUAAGUGAUGGAAAAUUUUAUUUUUUAAGUUAUUAACUUUUUAACACAUAUAUCUCACCAUUUGUACAAUGAAACAUGGUGUACCAUCCAAUGUGACGGUUACACUAAAAAUUCUCUCCUAAUCCACAUCUUACAUCUGUCCUAUUAGACUAAAGUUGAACUUUGAUUUACAGCUCAACAAUUCAAAUACAAUGGACCCAAAACAAAACAAUUCAAAUACAAAAAAUACUUAGAAACUAAGCAAGCACUCAACAAUCUAUCAAUCAACCAACACUUCUAUCCGUUCACGUUUCUAAGCACCUAGAUUGAUAAAAUCGACCUAACCGCCCAUCCAUUGGUCCAAACUACCAGUCUCUAAUCUUCUGACUGUACAUUUUCUACACCCUUCUAUCACCUCAUUUAUAAGUAAGUUUUGUGAUGCCAACUCCGAACUGAAACAUACCUUAUCAGUUGUCUCACUACAACCAAUUCCUCACCACAUAGGGCGUGUAAGAAUGCCUCACCAUCAUCCACCAGGACAACCACCGCCUCCUGAUCCUUUUGCUCCUCCACCACCAGGACCACCUCCUCCUGAUCCUUUUGCUCCUCCACCACCAGGUCCGCCACCACCAAGACCACCGCCUCCUGAUCCUUUUGCUCCUCCACCACCACCGGGACCUCGUUCUCCACCUCCACCAGGGCCUCCUCCACAGCCAGGGCCACAUGGUCCUCCCCCGCCACCUUAAUAUCAUCUCACAGGCUCACCUCAAACAGUAUACUAGUUACAGUAUUAUUAGCAUUAUGUAUAAGAAAUAAAGUGCAUGUGUCCAUGUAAGCUUCACGAAUUAUCUAUAUGUACACACAGUAGGAUUAAUGCCUACCUUAUUUAAUUAAUUUAAAGGGUUAAUUGCACUUUACACUCCAAGGCUUUGGAGGUCAUUUGCACAAUAAGCCACUAAAUUUCAAUUUUUGCAUUUUACACCAUGUGAUUUCUUUAGGGGUGUAACAUCUACACACUCCUUUUUACUUCUCCCACAGCUUUUUAGUUUUCGGUCGUCGGAUCGGAUGAAUUGAAGAAGAUCAACGGAUAUAAAUUAACAAGGUGUAUGAGAAGUAAAAAGGAGUGUGUGGAUUGCACACCCCUUUCUGUAUUACACUAAUUUAACCUCUUUAUCAAUUUUACUAUCUAAUUAAACGUUAGGUGUUGAUGUGGCAUAGACUUUCCCCACAUUUUAAGGACUCAUUGACCAUCAAUUUCAGUGUGUAGUACUUUACUCUUCUAUUGUUUCAAUUCUUUUAUAAAACUAAGAGUCAACAAGUCUUUAAAAUGUGAGCCCAAUAUAUACCACAUCAACUCAUAACGCCUAACUAGAAUCUGAUUUCUUUAUGAUUACCAUUCUAAUCCGAAAGCAAAUACUACAAUUAACACAAAACGAAAAUAACGGGUUUCACAUCAGCAAGAUAACUAAUCGGGUUGUUAUCUGAUCAUCCGUUAAGACCCGUUAUUAAUGGGUUCUUAACUGUUUCCACGCAGGUAACCCGUAUUCACCUCUUAAGAAAAAAGUUAGUUUGAUAAUUUUAAACUACUGAAAAAACCUUACUAGCUACUACAAUAGCUAUAGUACUAAAUCUCACAUGAGUAAGAUUAAAAAUUUCCAAUACACGUUAAAAAUACCAAAGCACAUUAAAAAUUUCAUCAAAAUUCAUUUACAAGUGUGCAAAAUGUGAAAAACAAAAAAAACAAAAAAAUCUGCAAACGCUUGUAAUCGCAUCAUGGUCAUUUGAUUUUUUCAAAACCCUACAAGCCCUCAUGAAUAGUGUUUUAAGUGAGUUCAAAAUAAAUAAAAAUUCAUAAUAAUUAAUGUAGAAGUUGAAAAACUGUGAAAAAAAUAUAUAAACACUUGUGCUUGCAUCAUCUACACUUUGACAAUGGUUGCAUCAUCAUUUAGAUUAUUAAAACCCUCAUGAAAUAAUUUUUUUUUUUGUUUGAGUGCAAAAAUAGUAAUGACAAGCUUUACAAUUUUCGUGAAGGAGUUAACUGUAAUACCCCGUAUUUAAAAAAAAAUUGGUUAUAUAUGUGUGUGUGUGUGUGUGUGUGUGUGGGUAAUUAUUUUUACGUAAUGAUUUUAUUAGAUUUAUUUUAUGCAAGAACCUACUGUCGAUAUGUGAAAUAGUUUCAAUGUAAAAUCCUUUUUGCUACAAAUUAUUUCAAAAACUAGCUUUCAUGUUCAUAUGUAAUUAGAGAUUUUUUAGUUUGAAUUGGAGAAGGGAAAUUAAAUGAGUUUGGUUUGAUUUUCCUCACAAAGGGCCAAGAGUUUGAGGUUGGAAUAAGUGAGUCAUUUUGUCUUGAUAUUUUCUCUCAAAGAUGAGGUGGAGAGCUUCUAACAUUAAGUGUUAAUGUUUUGGUGAUUACUCACCAUUCUAAAUGUGAAGGUGGAAGUCUACUUAAGGGUGAGUUGGCAAGUUUGUAUUCAUUAGGAAUCUAAGAGUUAAAUGUUUGGUAAUGAUUCAUCCCUCCAAAAUUGGAGAGGUGGGAUUCAUAUCCCUUAGACUUUGGACGUGGCUUUUGAGUGUUUGUUCACCUUGCAUGAUAUUAAUUAGCUUCACAUUUGUUGUUUUUUCCAUUGGACCACAUUUCAUUGCUAAGGAUUAGGACAACAUUUGUUGCCUUGUGAUUAGAACACAUUUCAUGGUGAUGAUUAGGUUAACAAUUGGUGUGUUUCUAUUAGAACACAUUUUAAGUUUAAUGAUUGGCACAACACUUGCUUUCUUUCUAUUGGCACACAUGUGAAGAUUCUUUGGAGAGGAAGAUGUCAUGCAAUCUCUAUAAAGGAAUGAGCACUCACCAAACGGAUGACAUGGAGAAAAAAGAGAGAGGAAGGAGAAGAAGAAAAAAGAAAAAGAAAGAACCACUUCAACAAGAAAACAAUUCUCCCCUUCCUAUUACCUUCUUAUAUUUAUUUAAAACGUUCUUAGGGCUUUAAGCCAUCUUUCAUUGUAUUUGUAAGUCCCUCAUAUGUAUAGUGAAAUACAAUGAAAUCAAACCCCAGUGGAUUUAGUCGAUUUGGCGAACCACUUAAAUCUUGUGUUGUUUAUGCAUUUACAUUUGGAGAUCAUUGCCAUGAGAAGCACUUCCACCAAACUAUCGCCAAUCUCUAUUUAUCUCCCUUGAGGAUGAUGUACAAAAAGUGUGAGACAAAUCCCAGAGAAAUACAUGAGACCUUACCCAACAAAUCUCCACCAAACUCCAUCUAUCAAAAGAAAGAUAUCCAAAAACUAGAAAUUCGUCCGGCCUAUGUAGUAGACCAAAACACCAUCAUCCAUAGAUUAUAUCAUAGUACUUCCUUCAUGAGAGUUGUUCGUCUGUCUCUCUACCAUGAUAUCCAAAUUUUAGAAAAAUCCAACGGUGCGAUCGUCCAAUAUGUUUGAAAUACCAACUCAUGUCUCUAAUCCCGCAGAAAAUUGGACAGCCAUGUUAUGAGCACUAAAAUUCCAUUUUGAAGAGCUCCGAUCAAAAUACUUCCUUCACAAAAGCUGUUCCUUAUCAUCUCAUCUAUAACAUAUCUAAAAACCACGAUAAUCCAAUCUAUGUGCUGACUUGUAUCCCAGUUUGAACAGCUGAUGUUCAGUUGAGCUAGCCUUCUUUGCCAACCUUUUUGCAUGGCCAACAUCUCUAGUUUCUUUUGCUCACUUUCAUGAAAGUUUUUCAGCAAUCUAACUCCUAAUACAUAUGUAGAGUUUCAACUAUAUUAAAGAAGAGGAAGGGGAAGUGGUGAAGGAAGAAAGAGAGCAAGAGAGAGGAAAUGAAAUUGAAACAAUAAAAAAAUGAGGAAAUGGUAACAUAUUGCUUAUCAUUUACAUUAAAGAUUAAUUUGUUAAUAUUAUGAUUAUACUACUCUUGUCACUAAUCAAUUUGAUUUAUAUUGAAGCUUAUAGGCUUGUUAAAGAAAAUGUGAGUAUUGAUAUCUAUGUGAACAUGACAUAUACAUAUGCAUUCCAAAGCAAGAAAAAGAGUUGUGUUGAGUUUGUAAAGUGUUUGCGUUGUGAGGAUAUUCAAGGGCUGAAGCUUUCCUUGAAUAUAAAAUAAUGAACCUUGUCUAUGUCAGGCAUAGGGUGCAGGGCUUAAGUAUACAAAUUGGUUGAUUAUAAAAAUAAUGAAAUCUUGUAUAUGUCAGGCGUAGGGUGCAAGGCUUGAAUAUACAAUUGGGCGUCGAAGGAAGUGCCCGUAUAAUAAAGUGGAAACUGAGAGUUUAAUUACAAAAACUGGGUGUAAGGGACGAAUGGGAGUUAACUCAUAUUCUAACGUACUCAGAGCCAAAUGGUAUAAGCAUGGUAAGGGACAUGCAGGCUUGGGUGCCUUAGGUAUGUGUUGACGGGAUUACAAGGGAGUGAGUACAUUCAUGCAUCUCAUUGCAUACCUUUUAUGUUUUUGCAAGAGCUACUCAUUUCAAUUAUUAUUUUAGUUGGUACUUUUGUAUAUUAAUAUUUUAUUUCCGCUACGUAUGUCAUAAAUUUUAUGUAAGAUUUUGUUAUCUAAUGUAUGUAAAAUCGUUAUAAUUUCAUUUUAGUUUCCACCAUACCUUGGUUGUAGAAUUUAUUUCUAUAACUAAGAUAUGGCUCACACCCUAACUCGUGAAUAGUCUUUAUUCGCGGGUUGGGGCGUGACAUUAACUCCGAAAUCCAACACCAUAAUCCAUAAACCCUAGAUUUAUAUUUUAACUGUUGAUUGUGAUUUAUGCUCUAUUCUUUUCACCCUAUUUCAUUUUUCAAUUUUUCUUUUUUGAAAACAUGAUUUAGCGGAUGCAAAAAAAUGAACUGUUUGGAUUGUUAUUAUUACAUAAACACAGAAAAUACGACACAAAUGACGGAUCUACAAUUAAUCAUCGUGAUGACAUGUCAACUUUACUAAGUACGUACACGUGUGAAAAAAUCUAGGGGUGGGCGCGGGUUGGUCAAAAUUGCAAACCAAAACCGACCAAGCUAGGACUAAAACCGAUCAAAUAACCAAAUGUGGCGGGUUGGUUUGAAUUGGUUCUCGGUUUCUAUGAAGACAAAAAUACAUAAUAAACUUCUCUUCCAAAAGCUACAUAACAUAGCACCUCAGUGAUUACUUAAGGGAAAACACAAAUUAAGCAACCCAAUAAUAGCACCAAGGCAACAACUAAGCUUUUCCAGCGAUUGAUACCAUGUAAAGCAACAAAGAUUGUUGCAAUAAUGUAUAACUAUGAGAGAUUUUAGAGAGAGAAAGUAGUAGACUUGAGGAAGAAGAAAGAAUCUUGUAUUAAGAUAAUGAUCUUACAGAGAGUACAUUUAGCUAUAUAUUGUAAUGCCUUAUAGACUAAGCUCUCCAAAUGGUGUCCAUGUUCUUCUCGAAAGGGACUCUUAAACUAAUCAGGUUUUGUUUUCAUGUGGUGGAAACAUGGUAACUCGUAAAUAACUAACCAUUUAUAUUAUCACACGUAUUAAUUAUGAUUAAAAAAUAAAAUUAAUAUAUGCGGGUCGGUUUGGUUAACUGCAGCCUAAGAAUUUUGAGAACCAAUUGCCAAACCGAUUAAGGUCGGUGCGGUUUGGUUUAACCACCGAAAAUUAAAAAAAAAAACAAACCAAACCGUCAAUGCUGUUUGGGCGGUCAAUCGAUUGUUUUACUAUUUUUUAUUAAAUGCCCAGCCCUAGAAAAAUCUAAGUGAAAGGAACAAUGAAACAAGAAAUUUUUACGGGUGGCGGGAACACACACCUCAGCAGUGCAGGUGGUGUUUCCUUCCAAUCCAAUAACGCCAUCUACCCCACUAAAGGUAAAUUGUUUUAUCUUUUAUAGAAUAAUCAAUAAGUGAAUUUUUUAUUUUUUAAAAAAAUAACUCAAGGCCCUUCCCCAACCUUCUAAUCAUUCCCCUCCAAUUCCUCUCAGCCCCCGACAUCCACCAUCACCGCCCGGUGUUUUGGCCCACCGUAUCGUCGUCCCCUUAUCAUCCCACCUUUCUCCUGAUGAUCAAGAACCGGCGUCUUCAAAUCAUGAUGAAGAAGCAACAUGAUAGAAGAAGAUGAUGGUGUCAAAUUGAGAUUUUAGUUGUGUGAUGGAGGCUGGAGCUUUCAUGGGUGUUCAUGGUGGUGGGCGUGACGUGGUUGUCAAGUGGAGGGCAGAAAUUUUGGUUCAGGUGCUGGUGACCCUUUAGUCGGAAAGAGAUGGAAGAGAGGAAGGCACCGGUACUAUGUUAAUUAAAUAUUAAGUUUUUUAAUGGGAACUUUAACGAAAAGCACCCGGUACUGUUCACUUUAACGAAAAACCACAUUUUUACAUUAAAAAGUCAAUCCUGGUACUAUUCACUUUACCCUUUAUUUUGUCCUUAUCAUUAAAACUCAAAGUUUUCAAGCCCUUUUCAUUAGUUUUCCUUUUUUUAAUUGCUUUAAAGGUGGGCUAGACUAUUGGUGUAAAUUUCAUCUUAAAUUCACAAAUAUCAAGACCUGAUUGGUGAAACUCCAAGUCAGCAAGAGUUCCCGUCACCCGUAAAAAUUUCUCCAAUGGAACAUAACCGAAACGCGUUUUCUGGCUACCAGUCUUCCAACUACCAGUCUUAUAUGCCUGUCUAGAAACUUCUUUGUAGCGAAUUAACAAACCGACUGUAUAUCUUUAUAAAACUGUCCAUUUCUCUCUAGUCAAUUAUCUUCGCUUGAUUUUACCAAAAAAAAAAAAAAAUUAUCUUCGCUUGCAACCAAAAUUUCAAGAGAAAAUGGCAUUCCGUAGGGAUCCGCCAGGACCACCACCACCCGACCCAUUUGCACCACCACCUCCCCCUCCUCCUCCUCCUCAUCAUGGGCAUCCACCAGGUCCACCACCUCCACCGCCGCCUCGGGAAUUCUUUCCUCCACCUCCACCUCCCCAUCUGGAAUUCCAUCCUCCACCCCCACCACCAAUCCACCACCACCCACCUGGUCCUCCACCCCCACCGUAUUACCCACCAGGCCCUCCGCCACCUGGUCCUCCUCCACCGCCUUACUCAGACCCCUACAGACCGCCGCCACCACCUUGGGGUCGUCCUCCUCCACCUUUCUAAGUAAUUAACAUACAGCAGCUUUCACUGAUAUAUCUUAUUUGUAUAUGGUCUACGCACGUCGGGACGUUGUAUGCACGAGGAGCGUCUGAUCAAGGCUGCUGCUUUAGGAGAAAAAGAAAUAAAAAAUCAUGUGUAUAGACGUUGUAAAC